rnacentral:rRNA from 1 species
UUGCAUAUCAAUAAGCGGAGGAAAAGAAACCAACAGGGAUUGCCUUAGUAACGGCGAGUGAAGCGGCAAAAGCUCAAAUUUGAAAUCUGGCACCUUCGGUGUCCGAGUUGUAAUUUGAAGAAGGUAACUUUGGAGUUGGCUCUUGUCUAUGUUCCUUGGAACAGGACGUCACAGAGGGUGAGAAUCCCGUGCGAUGAGAUGCCCAAUUCUAUGUAAAGUGCUUUCGAAGAGUCGAGUUGUUUGGGAAUGCAGCUCUAAGUGGGUGGUAAAUUCCAUCUAAAGCUAAAUAUCGGCGAGAGACCGAUAGUCGAACAAGUACAGUGAUGGAAAGAUGAAAAGAACUUUGAAAAGACGAGUGAAAAAGUAGCGUGAAAUUGUUGAAAGGGAGAGGGCUUGAGAUCAGAGCUUGGUAUUUUGCGGUCCUUUCCUUCUUGGUUGGGUUCCUCGCAGCUUACUGGG